CGUGCAGGCGGUCGGGUAAGUCAGAUGUGAAAGCCUUCCGCUCAACGGAAGAAGUGCAUUUGAAACUGCUUGGCUGGAGUACGGGAGAGGAGAGUGGAAUUCCCGGUGUAGAGGUGAAAUUCGUAGAUAUCGGGAGGAACACCAGUGGCGAAGGCGGCUCUCUGGUCCGAUACUGACGCUGAGACGCGAAAGCGUGGGGAGCAAACAGGAUUAGAUACCCUGGUAGUCCACGCCGUAAACGAUGGGCACUAGGUGUAGGAGGUAUUGACCCCUUCUGUGCCGAAGUUAACGCAUUAAGUGCCCCGCCUGGGGAGUACGGCCGCAAGGCUAAA
rnacentral:rRNA from 1 species